AGAAAUUUGCGGCAAUAAAAAAGCUUCUAACUUUAUUUAGGGUGGUUCAACUCCAUCAAUUUCUU
rnacentral:tRNA from 1 species